UUUUUUAUUCAACUAAGAGAACAAAAUAAGGCUAAGUGCAAAUCUUGUGGGAAAUUACUUGUUCAAAGGUAUACUGGAGAUCGUAGCGGCACGGGUAGUUUAGUUAAGCAUAUAAGAUUACACCCUAGCGAUAAGGCUAGAGUUUUUCAAUUGAAAGCGCAACAAGAGGGGAGGACAAGUCCUGAUACUCCAGUUAACCCAAGUACUGGUUCAAAUCUAGU
rnacentral:lncRNA from 1 species